UACGUAGGGCGCGAGCGUUAUCCGGAAUUAUUGGGCGUAAAGAGCUCGUAGGCGGUUUGUCGCGUCUGCUGAUGAAAACUGGAGGCUCAACCUCCAGCCUGCAGUGGGUACGGGCAGACUCGAGUGCGGUAGGGGAGAUUGGAAUUCCUGGUGUAGCGGUGGAAUGCGCAGAUAUCAGGAGGAACACCGAUGGCGAAGGCAGAUCUCUGGGCCGUAACUGACGCUGAGGAGCGAAAGCAUGGGGAGCGAACGGG
rnacentral:rRNA from 1 species